CGCCCUGGGAAUUGGAGUCCGCAGCCUGGAGACACGCAAUGCGAUCGCCAGAUGGGAUGGGAUGGGGGAGGGCAGGAGGCAGGUCGCGGGGAACUCUGGGAAAUGGCGCCUAUAAGCGGAAGUUGCUGCUAGCGACUUUCUCCAGUUGCUAGUCCCCGAGGCCCACUGGCAAGGCCGCAGCUCCCAGGCGUCAAAUAGAAAUCGCCUGGGCGAGGGCAUGCUCCGGGGAACGCUGGGAAGUGGAGUCUCAGGAUGAAGGGGUGUCCCAGGGCGUGCUGGGAAAUGAAGUGCACGGUAUAAAGGGGUCGAAGAGCAGGCCCCGGGGCCUGUGGGGACAUCGUCUGGACAGCUGGGCUCUAAAGGAUUUAGAACUGAUUUUUCCAUAUAUCUUAUCACUUUUCCACAUACUACGUAAUUUAUUUUGAAUUUUUUUCCCGCCCCUGUCAAGUAGAAAUAAGUUCCCUGAGGGCAGGGAUUUUUAUCUGCCGUGUGCACUACUCAUUCUCAGUACCUAGAACUGAACUGAGCGUGCGCGAUCGAAAUAAUUGUAUGCGUGAAGGAAUGAAUGAAGGCCCUAGGUCGUGGGAAACACCAGGGCACCAUGGGAAAUUGAGUCCACAACCCAGAAGUCCCUAAGGACAAUUCACCUCCAAGUUUACACUGGUGACUGCCCAGGGCAUGCUGGGAAAUAAGGCUUGCACGGCAAAGGUCAUGGCAACAAACUACCAACCGAGGGCAUGCUGGGAAAUAUAGUCCGCAGGGUCACCGCGUUAAAAGCGCAUUUGGUCGUAGGCAGGGCCCAAAGCGAAGACUUUUGCACCUUUCAGGACUGCUGUUUUCUCUCCAUGUUAACAGUGGAAUUUCAGUGCUUAACCUUGGAACUGCAGGCCCUCCUCACUGAUGGUGAAAAUAACCUCAGAUAGAUAAGAAGAAGAAAAUGUUCCUUCUUCCCCUGUAACAGCAGGAACUAUAAAGAUGGUUCAGAUAAUGGAGCAAAGUGAAAACAUCCAUGAAAGUAUCAAGUUGACUCUCUUGUCCCAUGUGGAGACAGAGGGAGGGAUCGGAGUCAAGCUGCAGGAACAUGACGAGACACUGACGGGAUGACACAGCCAGCCCCUGCUGACCCACCAGAGGACUGCAGAGGCAUGAGCAAGUCCAGCCAAGCCCAGCGGGACAAGAACCGCCCAGCUGAGGACGUUGGUACUUUUAGACGGGAGUCUGCCGACCUCCUCAUUUGCUGGCAAAUUAAUAAACUACUCUUUCC